rnacentral:rRNA from 1 species
CUGAUGCAGCUAUGCCGCGUGUGUGAAGAAGGCCUUCGGGUUGUAAAGCACUUUCAAUGGGGAAGAACUUAAUGUUGCUAAUAUCUAUAUUGAUUGACGUUACCCAUACAAGAAGCACCGGCUAACUCCGUGCCAGCAGCCGCGGUAAUAC